rfam:Variovorax sp. JS1663 JS1663_0012, whole genome shotgun sequence.
GCUCCCAAGGAGCGUUGCAGCGCGGCCUCCCUUGUCGAGGGCGCCGCGUCAGGCUUGGGCUUCCAUCCGCUGGAGUGCAACGACGCUCGCCUGAU